rnacentral:rRNA from 1 species
CGGAGCAACUUAAUGUUGUGACGGCGUGCCUUUUGCAUAAUGAACCUACGAGUUGCCGUCGCCGGCGAGGUUAAGCGCAAAGAUGCGCGCAGCCGAAGCGAAAGCGAGUCUUAAACGGGCGCAUAGUCCGCGGCGGCAGACGCGAAACCGAGUGAUCUACCCUUGUCCAGGCUGAAGUCCGGGUAACACCGGAUGGAGGGCCGAACCAAUAAGCGUUGAAAAGCUUCUGGAUGAGGUGUGCGUAGGAGUGAAAGGCCAAUCAAACUCGGAGAUAGCUCGUACUCCCCGAAAUGCAUUUAGGUGCAGCCCCCGUUGUUUCCUGCAUGAGGUAGAGCGACUGAUUGGAUGCGAGGGCUUCACCGCCUAUCAAGUCCGGACAAACUCCGAAUGCGUGCAGGUUAGAGACGGGGAGUGAGGGCAUGGGUGCUAAGGUCCGUGCCCGAGAGGAGAAGAAUCCAGACCGCCGGCUAAGGUCCCGAAUUACAGGUUAAGUUAGUCUAACGAAGUGUUGUCCCGAAGACAGCUAGGAUGUUGGCUUGGAAGCAGCCAUUCAUUCAAAGAGUGCGUAACAGCUCACUAGUCGAGGGACGUCGCAUGGAUAAUAAUCGGGUAUGAAAUCUGUAACCGAAGCCGCGGGAUGUCAUAAGACAUCGGUAGGGGAGCAUUCCACCGGCGUUGAAUGUCGAAGAUGACUUCGGCUGGAGCUUGUGGAAAAGCAAAUGUAGGUAUAAGUAACGAUAAAGAGGGUUAGAUGCCCUCUCGCCGAAAGACCAAGGAUUCCCGGGCAACGUUAAUCGCCCCGGGGUUAGUCGGGCCCUAAGGAUAAGCCGAACGGCGAGGCCGAUGGAAGAAACGGUUAAUAUUCCGUUACUGCCUUGCAUGGCGAUGUGGAGACGGAGAAGUGACACUUCCGCGCACUGACGGAAACGUGCGUUGAAGAGUGUAGGCGUAGAUCGCGGUAGGCAAAUCCGCCGCGAGAGCCGAACUUGACAGUACGCAAAGCCUUCGGGCGGCGCGAUAGCGAAGGUAAGCAUGCUCCCGAGAAAAUCCGCUAAGCUUAACAUGCAAGGCACCCGUACCGUAAACGGACACACGUGGUCGGGUAGAAAAUACUAAGGCGCUUGGAAGAUUCACGGUUAAGGAACUAGGCAAAUUGACCCCGUACCUUCGGAAUAAGGGGUCCUCACAGCGAUGUGAGGCGCAGAGAAUAGGUCCAGGCAACUGUUUAACAAAAACACAGGGCUGUGCAAAUUCGAAAGAUGAAGUAUACAGCCUGACACCUGCCCGGUGCUGGAAGGUUAAGAGGAGAUGUCACCGCAAGGGAAGCAUCGAAUUGAAGCCCCAGUAAACGGCGGCCGUAACUAUAACGGUCCUAAGGUAGCGAAAUUCCUUGUCGGGUAAGUUCCG